AGGGAAUAUUGCACAAUGAGCGAAAGCUUGAUGCAGCAACGCCGCGUGCGCGAUGACGGCCCUCGGGUUGUAAAGCGCUUUUCGGGGAGAUGAGGAAGGACAGUAUCCCCGGAAUAAGUCUCGGCUAACUACGUGCCAGCAGCCGCGGUAACACGUAGGAGGCAAGCGUUAUCCGAAUUUACUGGGCGUAAAGCGCGUGCAGGCGGUUCGGUAAGUUGGAUGUGAAAUCUCCCGGCUCAACUGGGAGGGGACGUUCAAUACUGUCGGACUUGAGGACGAUAGAGGGAGGUGGAAUUCCCGGUGUAGUGGUGAAAUGCGUAGAUAUCGGGAGGAACACCAGUGGCGAAAGCGGCCUCCUGGAUCGUUCCUGACGCUCAGACGCGAAAGCUAGGGGAGCGAACGG
rnacentral:rRNA from 1 species